GAUGAACGCUAGCGGCAGGCCUAACACAUGCAAGUCGAGGGGUAACAUAGAGAAGCUUGCUUUUCUGAUGACGACCGGCGCACGGGUGCGUAACGCGUAUGCAACCUACCUCUUACUGGGGAAUAGCCCGGAGAAAUCCGGAUUAAUGCCCCAUAGUAUUAUUUAACCGCAUGGUUUGAAUAAUUAAAGGUUACGGUAAGAGAUGGGCAUGCGUCCCAUUAGCUAGAUGGUAAGGUAACGGCUUACCAUGGCAACGAUGGGUAGGGGGCCUGAGAGGGUGAUCCCCCACACUGGUACUGAGACACGGACCAG
rnacentral:rRNA from 1 species